CAAUAGCGUAUAUUUAAGUUGUUGCAGUUAAAAAGCUCGUAGUUGGAUUUCGGUUGAGAACGGCCGGUCCGCCGUUUGGUGUGCACUGGCUGGUUUCAAUUUCCUGUAGAGGACGCGCUCUGGCUUCACGGCUGGACGCGGAGUCUACGUGGUUACUUUGAAAAAAUUAGAGUGUUCAAAGCGGGCUUACGCUUGAAUAUUUCAGCAUGGAAUAACACUAUAGGACUCCUGUCCUAUUUCGUUGGUCUCGGGACGGGAGUAAUGAUUAAGAGGAACAGUUGGGGGCAUUCGUAUUUCAUUGUCAGAGGUGAAAUUCUUGGAUUUAUGAAAGACGAACUUCUGCGAAAGCAUUUGCCAAGGAUGUUUUCAUUAA
rnacentral:rRNA from 1 species